rnacentral:rRNA from 1 species
UACGUAGGGGCAAGCGUUGUCCGGAAUCAUUGGGUCGUAAAGCGCGCGUAGGCGGCCCGGUAAGGUCCGACUCUGAAAGUCCAGGGCUUAACCCUGGAAAGCGGGUGGAUACUGCCGGGCUUGAAUCCGGAAGGAGGCGAGUGGAAUUCCUGGUGUAGCGGUGGAAUGCGCAGAUAUCAAGGAGGAACACCAAUAGCGAAGGCAGCUCGCUGGGACGGUAUUGACGCUAAGGCGCGAAAGCGUGGGGAGCAAACAGGAGUUAGAUAC